ACGGCCACAUAAUGUUUUAAGGUGUGCAUGUGUCUUUAAGAUGCAGGAAGACUAUACUGCUGUGAUGCGCAUGCACGGGCUCCUGUGUGAGCACGCGCAGUCGCAGAGAGGUGAAGGAGAGUGAUGGUCGCUCUAGCUCUACCGCUGACAACGUGUGUACGUUAUUUUCUUUUGUUUGUGACGGUACCAGAGUGUUUUUUUUUUCUGUUUCUGUACUCGCUCCUUUAUAUGUGUGUAACAUGAGUGCUGGUGCAAACCGCUAUAAAAGUUUGUCAAAUGACUAUCUAAUGGACUCGUGUUUCCUUCUCCUCUGGCCAUCUGUUUCAAUCCGGGUAACGUUGGCUCUUAACCCUCUGGCCCGCCGUUACAAGGUGAAACACAACAUGCUGAUUUACUUUUAUAUUGAUUUUUUUAUCUGAGGUCUUGUAGGAUGUUCAGUCGUCUUAUAGCUAACAUGAAGCAUGAGAAUGUAAUAUUAAGGGUUGGCGUAGGGCAAAAGUAAUGUGUGUCUACGCACAAAUACUCAACACAUACUGUAUAAAUAUGGCUGUGUAAUCAUUCUGGGUGCAUUUCAAUAUUUGAACCAAUAAAGGGUCAAAUAUACUCAAAAGCAUUUAGGCUGCAAAUGAAGCUCAGUUUCUCUAUAUAGCUUGUUUAUAGUGUAGUAUAGUGUUUAUAAUCUCGCCUCUUUAUGAUGUUGUUAUGUUUAUUUAGCAGCGGUAUAAUGUACACUUACAGAAUAAUCUACACCCCGUGAUAUUCUUUAAAUGUUGCAGAUUUAUGUUGGAAUCCCUGAAAUGAUUAAUAUUGAUCCUUUUUAGUCUUAAGGAACAGUUAGUUUAGGUCACUUUCAAAAAGAGACUGAAGAUCAGGGCCCGUAUGUAUAAAGCCACACAGAGUAAAAUUUUACUUUUAAGUGUGUCAAAAUUCUAAGAAUGACGUAAUUUUACUCUUAUUCUUACACUUAAGAAUAAGAGUUAUUCAUAAAGGUUCAUAAGUGUUAAGACUAGGUCUCAGCUCCUAAAUUAUUUAAGAGAGCUGAAGAGGUCUCCUAAACUAGUUAGGAGAAACAAGAUGGCAGCAGAGAGAAGGAGGUUGCGCACUUUCCAACAACGGAAGAAUGUUUUGGAAUUAUAUGAUGACAGGGAGUUGAUAAAACGUUACAGGCUUGAUCGUCAAGGUAUUGUUUUUGUUACCGACUUAGUCAGAAAUUCUAUAACUUCUCCCACUCUACGAAACAAUGCUUUAACUGCAGAAAUGAAAGUAGUAAUGACUCUGCAUUUCUUGGCGACUGGAAAAAUGCAGCAAUGCACCAGUGAUGACUUGGGCCCAUCACAGUCCACAGUUAGCAGGGUCUUAAAUACCACUGUUGCAGCCCUAACCACACCAGACAUAGUAAGGCAGUUCAUCGACUUUCCAACUGACCUUCAAACAAUACAGCAAAAGCAAGCAGAUUUUAUGAGGAUUGCAGGCUUCCCUGGAGUUGUUGGAGCCAUUGAUGGCACCCAGGUUCACAUUAUUGCUCCAACUGUGAAUGAGGAGACAUAUGUCAAUCGAAAAGGAUUCCACAGCAUCAAUGUUCAAGUUGUAAUUGAUGCCAAUUACAAGAUUCUAGAUCUUGUAGCAAAAUGGCCAGGGUCAACGCAUGAUGCUCGGGUUCCUUCCCAGAACCCCUUUCACUGGGUUAUUCGAACAAAAUUAUGUUCGCCCUGGAUGUCAUCUGCUGGGUGACUCGGGUUACCCUUUAAAACGCUGGCUUCUCACCCCUUACAGAAGACCACAAGGAGAACAGCAGCUCAAUUAUAACAGAGCACACAAAGAAACAAGAGCUGUGGUGGAGAGAGGAAUUGGACAGCUGAAAAGGAGAUUCCAUGUCCUUCAUGGAGAAAUUCGACACUGCCCGAGCGUGCUAGUCGCAUUAUUAUGGCUUGUGGCAUUUUGCACAAUAUUUGCAAAGCUCGUAACCUCCCACUGCUUGAUGAUGAUGAUGGUGAUGCUGACAAAGAUGAUGAUGAUCAUGAUGACGAAGACAGUGAUCCUGAUGAGAAUAACUACGAUGACAAUACCACUGACCACGCAUUACAAAACAUUUCAGGGAGAGCAUCAAGGGACUGCUUUGCUAACUUACAUUUCGGAGACUCAAUGUCGUCCUCAGGGGCUGCGCCCUGUGCAAACCCUGUGUCUUGUGAGGCAGAAGGCUCAUCUGGAGGACACAGGGAGAUGUCCUGAGAUGAUACAGGAGAAGAUGUGUCAAAUGGACCAGCUCCAGCAUCAUCCACACUUCACAUGCAAAAAAUUGAAUAAACAUGUUUAUUCAAUCGGAAGUGUUGUGUCUUUUUCAUGUCCAUAGAUUAAAGUAGCUAAUAUAAAUGUAUAAAAAAGGCAAACAUAUUAUUACAUGUAUCGUUUUCUUCUUACCAUCUUUGUAACUCCUUCAAUUUCAGUAGUGCAGAGUCUGGGGCUUCUGCUAUGCCACAAGUGGAAGGAUUGGCUGUUCCAAUCAUCUCCUCUACUAUCUCGGCAAUCUCAGACAGAGGUUUACAUGGAGGGCCUCCACCUAUUUUACAUAGAACUCUGCUGCUGACCACACGGACACCAUCAUUUAAUAUAAAAGUAUUCAUAUAAAUAUGAACAUAAAAUCAAAUGUACCAGUGGCUCGCAUGCUUUCUUUGUAUGCUGCAAUUUCCUUGCGUGCUGUUGACAAAACAUUGUACCACCUUUUCUCACAAUCCUCUGCUGAUGUUCUUGUCCGAGGAAAUGCUGCAUUUAUAGUCAUUGUAAUCUGUUGCCAUGCAUUUUUUUUGUCCUUACUUGUUAAAGUUGGACUGAAUUUUCCUCUUAUCACCUCCUUACAUUUAAGGACGAACUACACUAGAACAACAUUUUCUUCCUUGGACCGGUUUGGUUUUCUUUUUGAAUACAUUUUUAACAGUUUGCAACUUUGGUCUUUUCUUUAUAUACAGGUGUAAGUGAAAUUUAUAAUGAUGUGAUUCAUCAGCUUAAUUACUUAAAUGGUACCACAUAUCCAUUUAAUUCGUGUGUGGAAAGUCAUAAAACUGUGCAAAAUUGUGUCAAAUAAAAGUACUGGUAAUCUUUUUGCACACAAUGCAAAAAAGUAUUUCUCAAAUAAAUUGAAAUAUUAAAAUUAUUGUAAUAUCUUAUUUAAAUCGUAAAUUAAUUGUGUCAUACUGCUGUGACUUCACCCUUGCAGGCUCCCUAUUGGCUGAUUCAGAGGUCAAGUGCGGCCAUUUUGUGUUUAAUUCAUUGUAGUCCUUAAUUUACAACACUUAAGUCAGAACUUAAGAAUCAGUCUUAAACUUUACUGAAAGUUGCUUUUAGCUUCUUUAUAAAAGGCUCCUACUCUUAAAAAAGUCCUACUUCUUACUAAGAUUUUUUUGACACUUAAGUCAAAGUUUAAGACAACUCUUGAGAGCAUUUCUGAGAAGUUUUAUACAUACGGCCCCAGUUGUUAUUUCUUUUAAAUGUUGUGAUGGAGUGGCUCAGAAUGAGCAUUUAUUGAGACAUGAAGAGAAAUCUGUGUAGCUCACCUCAUUGUCAGGUCACUUUCAUUACAUUUGGUUUAGUUCACAUUUUAUUAUUUCAAUCAUUUUCUGUUUGUGUUCAGCAUUUGGAGAGCUUUGCAUCAAUAGGUCAGUGAUUCUGUUUGUGAGACACAAUGCUUCUCUGUCUGAACGCUGGCGAGCAGAUGUUGUCUUGUUUGUUAAAACACUAUGGCAACAUCACAACAAAUAUUCAGAUGGAAGCGGAUGAUAUCAUCACCUUUAACUGUUACACAUGUCAAGUGCUGUCUCACCCUGAGCUCUCUCUCUCUCUGUCAUGAAUGUUUGGAUCAGCAGAGCAACUUCAAACAAUAAAGACCCAACAGAAUAUAAGAUGACAUUUACCUGUAAAACUCAGUUUGUCUGUCUGGAAGUGUCUCGUCUUUAACCUCCUGUAGUAUUAAAGCACUCCGUGUGUCUCUUAUUUUCUAAAUUGUGCAUCUUAAAUUUCUCGCUGCUUUGUCCUCGAGGCCGUGACCCGGGAGGACAUGACGGAUCAUCAAGGUCUGCUUUAUCAUUCAGUUCUACAUGUAUCUGUUGUCUAAAUGCACUGCCAGGAGGGUGAAGCGAGUUUAACCCCACAUGUAGGCUACUUCAACAGGUUGGGCUUUAUUCAUAAUUUUGAUGUUGUGACUCUAGAUCAGUGGUUCUCAACUCUGGCCCGCGAGAUCCAUUUUCCUGCCGAGUUUCGCCCCAACUCUGAUAAAACACCUGAAGAGGCUAAUCAUCAGUGACUCCAGGAACAGACGCCGUGUUCAACUUAAUGUUGGGCUGCGCAGAUUGUUUGGCAUAUCGCAUUAAAGUAGCGCGAGAGCGAUUCAAAUGCGUACCGAGCAAUCUGCACUUGAAUCGCUUUCGCGGUACUUAAAUGUCGUACGCUGAUAGAUUUGCGCAGCGCCGCAUUAAGUUGAAAGUGUUUAUUCCUAAAGGCGCUGAUUAGCUUGUUCAGGUGUUUUAUAUCAGAAUUGGGGCUAAACUCGGCAGGAAAAUGGAUUUCGCGGGCCACAGUUGAAAACCACUGCUCUAGAAGAAACAACAAAAUGUCUCACUUCGAUCCCUCCAUCUGGUUAGGUCAGAAAAGCCAAGUGACCCUUUCUCUCAACAGGUAUUGGUCUGGCUUUUGUUGAAACUAGUAACUUUGAAUUAGCACCUAUUGUAUUAUUGCUCCUGUAUGACAUAUGUGACCCUGGCCAACAAAACCAGUCUUAUGUGUCAAUUUUUCGAAAUUGAGAUUUUUACGUAAUCUGAAAGCUGAAUAAAUAAACUUUCUAUAGAUAUAUGAGUUGUUAGAAUACGACAAUAUCUGGCUGAGAUACAACCGUUUAAAACUCUGGAAUCUGAGAGCGCAAAAAAAUCAAAAUAUUGAGAAAAUUGCCUUUGAAGUUGUUAAUCAGGGGCACUGUGGCAGACCAUCCACUCACAAAAAUAAAGUUUUUAUAUAUUUAAGGUAGGAAAUUUACAAAAUACCUUCAUGGAACAUGAUCUUUACUUAAUAUCCUAAUGAUUUUUGGCAUAAAAGAAAAAUCGAUAAUUUUGACCCACACAAUGUAUUUUUGUCUUUUACUAAAAAUGUUCCCGUGCUACUUAAGACUGGUUUUGUGAUCCAG